UAGGGAAUCUUCGGCAAUGGACGGAANNUUGGACCGAGCAACCNCGCGUGAGUGAAGAAGGUUUUCGGAUCGUAAAGCUCUGUUGUAAGAGAAGAACGAGUGUGAGAGUGGAAAGUUCACACUGUGACGGUAUCUUACCAGAAAGGGACGGCUAACUACGUGCCAGCAGCCGCGGUAAUACGUAGGUCCCGAGCGUUGUCCGGAUUUAUUGGGCGUAAAGCGAGCGCAGGCGGUUAGAUAAGUCUGAAGUUAAAGGCUGUGGCUUAACCAUAGUACGCUUUGGAAACUGUUUAACUUGAGUGCAAGAGGGGAGAGUGGAAUUCCAUGUGUAGCGGUGAAAUGCGUAGAUAUAUGGAGGAACACCGGUGGCGAAAGCGGCUCUCUGGCUUGUAACUGACGCUGAGGCUCGAAAGCGUGGGGAGCAAACAGGAUUAGAUACCCUGGUAGUCCACGCCGUAAACGAUGAGUGCUAGGUGUUAGACCCUUUCCGGGGUUUAGUGCCGCAGCUAACGCAUUAAGCACUCCGCCUGGGGAGUACGACCGCAAGNUUG
rnacentral:rRNA from 1 species